GUGAAUGAUAGGCCAGAGAUGAAUGAUAGACCAGAGAUGACUGAUAGACCAGAGGUGAAUGAUAGGCCAGAGGUGAAUGAUAGACCAGAGAUGACUGAUAGACCAGAGGUGAAUGAUAGGCCAGAGGUGAAUGAUAGGCCAGAGAUGAAU